rnacentral:sRNA from 1 species
AAUUAUAUCAUUCAUCUCAAUCCACAAAACAUAUAAAGUAUGUGAUGACCCUUCCAUAUCCAGUUUCGACAGUGAUUGUUAUAUAAUAAACUCAGGAGUUGAAACUGCUCUGACCGUUAUAAAGGAAAUAGAGAAAGAAAACAAAUUAAAACAAACGAAAAAAUCCAGGAACAAUUCUGAAUUCUUUGAACAAAAAGAAAAAGAAAAUUUAAAUUCAACAACACCUGAUAUAACAGAAUUAUUAAACGUAUUAGAGACAAAUAAAAAAACUCAAAACCUAUUCAUAGAAAAUACAAA